rnacentral:rRNA from 1 species
CUGGCGGCGUGCCUAACACAUGCAAGUCGAGCGGUAUAUGUUGGAAUGAAACUUCGUUCGAGUGAAGACAUAGAGAGCGGCGGACGGGUGAGUAACGCGUAGGCAACCUGCCCCAUACAGAGGGAUAGCCUCGGGAAACCGGGAUUAAAACCUCAUAAUGCGAGAAGUUCACAUGGACUUUUCGCCAAAGAUUUAUCGGUAUGGGAUGGGCCUGCGUCUGAUUAGCUAGUUGGUGGGGUAACGGCCUACCAAGGCAACGAUCAGUAGCCGACCUGAGAGGGUAAUCGGCCACAUUGGAACUGAGACACGGUCCAAACUCCUACGGGAGGCAGCAGUGGGGAAUAUUGCACAAUGGGCGAAAGCCUGAUGCAGCAACGCCGCGUGAGCGAUGAAGGCCUUUGGGUCGUAAAGCUCUGUCCUUGGGGAAGAAUAAAUGACGGUACCCUUGGAGGAAGCCCCGGCUAACUACGUGCCAGCAGCCGCGGUAAUACGUAGGGGGCAAGCGUUAUCCGGAAUUAUUGGGCAUAAAGAGUGCGUAGGUGGUUUUGUAAGCGCGGGGUGAAAGGCAAUAGCUCAACUAUUGUAAGCCCUGCGAACUGUGAGACUUGAGUGCAGGAGAGGAAAGUGGAAUUCCUAGUGUAGCGGUGAAAUGCGUAGAUAUUAGGAGGAACACCAGUGGCGAAGGCGACUUUCUGGACUGUAACUGACACUGAGGCACGAAAGCGUGGGGAGCAAACAGGAUUAGAUACCCUGGUAGUCCACGCCGUAAACGAUGAGCACUAGGUGUCGGGGCCGCAAGGUUUCGGUGCCGCAGUUAACGCAUUAAGUGCUCCGCCUGGGGAGUACGCACGCAAGUGUGAAACUCAAAGGAAUUGACGGGGACCCGCACAAGCAGCGGAGCAUGUGGUUUAAUUCGAAGCAACGCGAAGAACCUUACCAGGGCUUGACAUCCCUCUGACAGUCCCUUA